rnacentral:rRNA from 1 species
GACGGGGGCCCGCACAAGCAGUGGAGUAUGUGGUUUAAUUCGAAGCAACGCGAAGAACCUUACCAGGUCUUGACAUCGUAUGCAUACCAUAGAGAUAUGGGAAAUCCCUUCGGGGACAUAUAGACAGGUGGUGCAUGGUUGUCGUCAGCUCGUGUCGUGAGAUGUUGGGUUAAGUCCCGCAACGAGCGCAACCCUUACCUUUAGUUGCUACGCAAGAGCACUCUAAAGGGACUGCCGUUGACAAAACGGAGGAAGGUGGGGAUGACGUCAAAUCAUCAUGCCCCUUAUGACCUGGGCUACACACGUACUACAAUGGCAAUCAACAAAGAGCAGCAAGACAGUGAUGUGGAGCGAAUCUCAAAAAAUUGUCCCAGUUCAGAUUGCAGGCUGCAACUCGCCUGCAUGAAGUCGGAAUUGCUAGUAAUCGCGGAUCAGCAUGCCGCGGUGAAUACGUUCCCGGGCCUUGUACACACCGCCCGUCACACCAUGGGAGUCGGUAACACCCGAAGUCGGUAGUCUAACAGCAAUGAGGACGCCGCCGAAGGUGGGAUUGAGGACUGGGGUGAAGACGUAACAAGGG